CGUGAGACAGUUCGGUCCCUAUCUGCCGUGGGCGCUGGAGAACUGAGGGGGGCUGCUCCUAGUACGAGAGGACCGGAGUGGACGCAUCACUGGUGUUCGGGUUGUCAUGCCAAUGGCACUGCCCGGUAGCUAAAUGCGGAAGAGAUAAGUGCUGAAAGCAUCUAAGCACGAAACUUGCCCCGAGAUGAGUUCUCCCUGAGACUUAGAGUCUCCUGAAGGAACGUUGAAGACGACAACGUUGAUAGGCCGGGUGUGUAAGCGCAGCGAUGCGUUGAGCUAACCGGUACUAAUGAACCGUGAGGCUUAACCUUACAACGCCGAAG
rnacentral:rRNA from 1 species